GUUUUAGUCUUUCCCCUCCACCCAGCUAAUGCUGAGUUAAAGCCCAUCUCCUUUCUGUCCUAUCUCCAUUUUGUAGAUUUCUAUGUCCUCCCCCCCUACCACUAGUUUAAAAUCUACUCCAAUUAAUAACUCAAGUCAUAUGGCAAGCGAAAAUGGAAAGGGGUAUACUGAUGAACAUUGGAAACAGAUACACACAGAUAGAGGAUUGGGACACAUG